AUUGAACGCUGGCGGCAUGCUUUACACAUGCAAGUCGAACGGUAACAGGCCGCAAGGUGCUGACGAGUGGCGAACGGGUGAGUAAUGCAUCGGAACGUGCCCAGUCGUGGGGGAUAACUACUCGAAAGAGUAGCUAAUACCGCAUACGAUCUAUGGAUGACAGCGGGGGACCGUAAGGCCUCGCGCGAUUGGAGCGGCCGAUGUCAGAUUAGGUAGUUGGUGGGGUAAAGGCUCACCAAGCCAACGAUCUGUAGCUGGUCUGAGAGGACGACCAGCCACACUGGGACUGAGACACGGCCCAGACUCCUACGGGAGGCAGCAGUGGGGAAUGUUGGACAAUGGGCGCAAGCCUGAUCCAGCAAUGCCGCGUGCAGGAAGAAGGCCUUCGGGUUGUAAACUGCUUUUGUACGGAACGAAACGGCUCUGGUUAAUACCCGGGGCUAAUGACGGUACCGGAAGAAUAAGCACCGGCUAACUACGUG
rnacentral:rRNA from 1 species